UACGAAGGGGGCUAGCGUUGCUCGGAAUUACUGGGCGUAAAGCGCACGUAGGCGGCUUGCUAAGUCAGGGGUGAAAUCCUGGAGCUCAACUCCAGAACUGCCUUUGAUACUGGCGAUCUUGAGUCCGGGAGAGGUGAGUGGAACUGCGAGUGUAGAGGUGAAAUUCGUAGAUAUUCGCAAGAACACCAGUGGCGAAGGCGGCUCACUGGCCCGGUACUGACGCUGAGGUGCGAAAGCGUGGGGAGCAAACGGG
rnacentral:rRNA from 1 species